AGCACUCCCAGGAUUUAGUCAAAGAACAAAAACUUUUCUUUAUUCCAAAUUUGAAUAAAGAAAAGUUUUCGUUCUUUGAAUAAAUCCUGGGAGUGCU